GAACUAAGGUCGUAUCGCUUUAAAAAUUAAACAGUGUCUCCUUCUGGGCAUGUCUCUCUCCUCCAGAAACUUCAUUGUAGAGAGUGACUGGACAUAGACAGAAGAGAGGUCUAGACAGAAAGACAGAAGCAGACAUGGUGGCAGCGGGUCCGAGGGCUGCAGGGUAUCAGCCCCGUCAGGACCGCCCCGACUCCGGGGAAGAAGCCAAGAGCAUGUUCCGAUGGAGCUACUCAUAAAGCUUCACCGAGGACCACGGAAAGGAGGUUGGUGGGGUCUGCGGCGUGAGACACCAGCCUCAGGGCCCCGGGCUCCCUGCCCCGUCUCUUGAAACCCCAGCUCUGUUAGGCCCGCCAAAACACAGGAUGUGAGCUCUGCUCUUCCAGAAGGAGGUGGGGAAGCCUCCCUCCCCUUCCCGAGCCCGGGCUCUCUCCGGCUCCCACCUUCCCGACUGUGGACUGGGCAGCCCCUUCCCACCUGCCGGCCCAGUGGCAAGUACCAGCCCCACCUUCCAGCACGGUCUUCUCAGGGGAAACCCAGGGCAGGGGCGGCAGGAGCGGGGGUGGGGGCAGCAGGAGAGCCCCUCUGACGCGC